rnacentral:rRNA from 1 species
GUUGUUGAGGAAGAUAAUGACGGUACUCAACAAGGAAGUGACGGCUAACUACGUGCCAGCAGCCGCGGUAAAACGUAGGUCACAAGCGUUGUCCGGAAUUACUGGGUGUAAAGGGAGCGCAGGCGGGAGAACAAGUUGGAAGUGAAAUCCAUGGGCUCAACCCAUGAACUGCUUUCAAAACUGUUUUUCUUGAGUAGUGCAGAGGUAGGCGGAAUUCCCGGUGUAGCGGUGGAAUGCGUAGAUAUCGGGAGGAACACCAGUGGCGAAGGCGGCCUACUGGGCACCAACUGACGCUGAGGCUCGAAAGUGUGGGUAGCAAACAGGAUUAGAUACCCUGGUAGUCCACACCGUAAACGAUGAUUACUAGGUGUUGGAGGAUUGACCCCUUCAGUGCCGCAGUUAACACAAUAAGUAAUCCACCUGGGGAGUACGACCGCAAGGUUGAAACUCAAAGGAAUUGACGGGGGCCCGCACAAGCAGUGGAGUAUGUGGUUUAAUUCGACGCAACGCGAAGAACCUUACCAAGUCUUGACAUCCCUUGACGAUGCUGGAAACAGUAUUUCUCUUCGGAGCAAGGAGACAGGUGG